rnacentral:rRNA from 1 species
UAGGGAAUCUUCCGCAAUGGGCGAAAGCUUGACGGAGCAACGCCGCGUGAGUGAUGAAGGUCUUCGGAUCGUAAAACUCUGUUAUUAGGGAAGAACAAAUGUGAAAGUAACUAUGCACGUCUUGACGGUACCUAAUCAGAAAGCCACGGCUAACUACGUGCCAGCAGCCGCGGUAAUACGUAGGUGGCAAGCGUUAUCCGGAAUUAUUGGGCGUAAAGCGCGCGUAGGCGGUUUUUUAAGUCUGAUGUGAAAGCCCACGGCUCAACCGUGGAGGGUCAUUGGAAACUGGAAAACUUGAGUGCAGAAGAGGAAAGUGGAAUUCCAUGUGUAGCGGUGAAAUGCGCAGAGAUAUGGAGGAACACCAGUGGCGAAGGCGACUUUCUGGUCUGUAACUGACGCUGAUGUGCGAAAGCGUGGGGAUCAAACAGG